ACGGCGUAGGAACCUGCCCCAAGUAGGUGGGGGAUAGCCCGGUGAAAACCGGAUUAAUACCGCAUACGCUCUACGGAGGAAAGGGGGCUUCGGUCUCUCGACUAUUGGAUGGGCCCGCGUCUGAAUUACGCGUAGUUGGUGAGGUAAGAGCUCACCAACGGCAUCGAUCAGUAGCUGGUCUGAGAGGGAUGAUUCAGCCUACACGUGGGAACUGAGACACGGGCCCAGACUCCUACGGGAGGCAGCAGUGGGGAAUUUUCCCGGCAAUCGGGGCGAAAGCCUGACGGAGCAACGCCGCGU
rnacentral:rRNA from 1 species